AGCACUGUAGAGAGUUUGAUCCUGGCUCAGAUUGAACGCUGGCGGCAUGCCUUACACAUGCGAGUCGAACGGUAACAGGUAAAGCUGACGAGUGGCGAACGGGUGAGUAAUGUAUCGGAACGUGCCCAGUCGUGGGGGAUAACUACUCGAAAGAGUGGCUAAUACCGCAUGAGACCUGAGGGUGAAAGCGGGGGACUCGCAAGAGCCUCGCGCGAUUGGAGCGGCCGAUAUCAGAUUAGCUUGUUGGUGGGGUAAAAGCCCACCAAGGCGACGAUCUGUAGCUGGUCUGAGAGGACGACCAGCCACACUGGGACUGAGACACGGCCCAGACUCCUACGGGAGGCAGCAGUGGGGAAUUUUGGACAAUGGACGCAAGUCUGAUCCAGCCAUGCCGCGUGCGGGAAGAAGGCCUUCGGGUGGUAAACCGCUUUUGUCAGGGAAGAAACGGCUCUGUCUAAUACACGGGACUAAUGACGGUACCUGAAGAAUAAGCACCGGCUAACUACGUGCCAGCCGCCGCGGUAAU
rnacentral:rRNA from 1 species